AUUGAACGCUGGCGGCAUGCCUUACACAUGCAAGUCGAACGGCAGCACGGGAGCUUGCUCCUGGUGGCGAGUGGCGAACGGGUGAGUAAUACAUCGGAACGUACCCAGUAGUGGGGGAUAACGCACCGAAAGGUGCGCUAAUACCGCAUACGACCUACGGGUGAAAGCGGGGGACCGUAAGGCCUCGCGCUAUUGGAGCGGCCGCUGUCUGAUUAGCUAGUUGGCGGGGUAAAAGCCCACCAAGGCGACGAUCAGUAGCUGGUCUGAGAGGACGAGCAGCCACACUGGGACUGAGACACGGCCCAGACUGCUACGGGAGGCAGCAGUGGGGGAUUUUGGAGAAUGGGGGCAACCCUGAUCCAGCAAUGCCGCGUGUGCGAAGAAGGCCAUCGGGUUGUAAAGCACUUUUGUCAGGGAAGAAAUCUUUCAGGCUAAUACCCUUGGAAGGAUGACGGUACCUGAAGAAUAAGCACCGGCUAACUACGUGCCAGCCGCCGCGGUAA
rnacentral:rRNA from 1 species